rnacentral:rRNA from 1 species
GACGAACGCUGGCGGCGUGCUUAACACAUGCAAGUCGAACGGUAAGGCCCUUCGGGGUACACGAGUGGCGAACGGGUGAGUAACACGUGGGUGAUCUGCCCUGCACUUCGGGAUAAGCCUGGGAAACUGGGUCUAAUACCGGAUAGGACUCCUGGCUUCAUGGUUGGGGGUGGAAAGCUUUUGCGGUGUGGGAUGGGCCCGCGGCCUAUCAGCUUGUUGGUGGGGUAAUGGCCUGCCAAGGCGACGACGGGUAGCCGGCCUGAGAGGGUGACCGGUCACACUGGGACUGAGAUACGGCCCGGACUCCUACGGGAGGCAGCAGUGGGGAAUAUUGCACAAUGGGCGCAAGCCUGAUGCAGCGACGCCGCGUGAGGGAUGACGGCCCUCGGGUUGUAAACCUCUUUCAGCACCGACGAAGCGCAAGUGACGGUAGGUGCAGAAGAAGGACCGGCCAACUACGUGCCAGCCGCCGCGGUAA